rnacentral:rRNA from 1 species
UCCUGCUCAAUGAUUAUUUAAAUAGCUGCAGUAAUUUGACUGUACAAAGGUAGCAUAGUAAUUAGUCUCUUAAUUGGGGACUAGAAUGAAUGGAUUAAUGAAAAAUAUAUUUUAUUAAUUUUAUUAUUAUAAUUUAAUUUCUAAGUAAAAAAGCUUAGUUAUUUUUUUGGGACGAAAAGACCCUAUAGAACUUUUUAUUUUAUAAAUUAUUUUUAGUUUUUUUAUAUUUUUAUGUAUUUUGUUGGGGUGACAAAUAAAUUUAGGCUUUAUUUAAUUUUUUCAUUAAUUUAUGUUUUUUUGAUCCUUAUUUUUGAUUUCAAGAUAAAGUUACCUUAGGGAUAACAGCGUAAUUUUAAUGGGGAGUUCUUAUUUAUAUUAAAGUUUGCGACCUCGAUGUUGAAUUAAGAUAAGUAUAAGGGGUAG